UACGUAGGGUGCAAGCGUUACUCGGAAUUACUGGGCGUAAAGCGUGCGCAGGCGGCUUUGCAAGCCAGAUGUGAAAUCCCCGGGCUUAACCUGGGAACUGCAUUUGUGACUGCAAAGCUAGAGUACGGCAGAGGGGGAUGGAAUUCCGCGUGUAGCAGUGAAAUGCGUAGAUAUGCGGAGGAACACCGAUGGCGAAGGCAAUCCCCUGGGCCUGUACUGACGCUCAUGCACGAAAGCGUGGGGGGCAAACAGG
rnacentral:rRNA from 1 species